CAUAUGAUGCCAAAUCCCAAACUUAUUGUUUUUUGCAAAUUAAUCAGUGAAGUUAAUUAAAUUAUGUACUUUCUCCUGUGAAAAUGAACCUGGAAUUUAUUUCUACGUCUAUAAAACCCAUCUGCGAAGGUUGCUUGAGUGUCGAUAGGAAGUUAUCGCCAGUGUUUGAUGUUGAAAUUAGAGCGUUCUUUAAAGAGUUGGUUGACCCCCUUACCUGCUACUCUGAUGUCGAUCACCUCAAUCACCCUUCAGCCCUCUGUUGGGAGUGCACAGCGAUCAUAAAACGGACCCUAAACUAUAAGAAACAAGUUCAACAUGCACACGGACUACUCAUUCAGUAUAUGCUCCAUCACACCACAAACCCACCAGUACUCUCAAGUCUCUCUAUUUGCUCCAAUCGCCCUGAAAUCAUCGAUCCAGCUGAUCAAAAAAACAUUAUUACGAAUGUCCGUCCUACUAGCCCAUCUAAGAAUACAUCUGCGGUGACGAAAAAGAGUAGAGCAAUAGAACAACAGUUGACAAGCUCAGUGGAACCGUUAGAGUUUCUUAAAGUUGAGCAGAAAGAUGAUGAGACUGACUUCGGUGACUUAGAAGGGUAUUAUGUUGAGAAUGAUGAUACGAAUGACGAUUAUGACAAGGAUU